GAGUGAUCUAGCCAUGAGCAGGUUGAAGGUGCGGUAACACGUACUGGAGGACCGAACCCACUUAUGUUGAAAAAUGAGGGGAUGACCUGUGACUAGGGGUGAAAGGCCAAUCAAACUCGGAAAUAGCUCGUACUCCCCGAAAUGCAUUUAGGUGCAGCGUUGGUUAAAAGUUUUAUAGAGGUAGAGCUACUGAUUGGAUGCGGGGGCUUCACCGCCUACCAAUUCCUGACAAACUCCGAAUGCUAUAAAAUGAUGCACAGCAGUGAGGGCAUGGGUGCUAAGGUCCAUGUCCGAGAGGGAAAGAACCCAGACCAUCAGCUAAGGUCCCAAAAUAUAUGUUAAGUUGAAUAAACGAGGUUGGAUUGCACAGACAGCUAGGAUGUUGGCUUGGAAGCAGCCAUUCAUUUAAAGAGUGCGUAACAGCUCACUGGUCGAGCGGUCCCGCAUGGAUAAUGAUCGGGCAUAAGCACAUUACCGAAGCUAUGGCAUCGAAAGAUGGGUAGGGGAGCAUUCUGUUCGGCGCCGAAGGUGCACUGUGAGGUGUGCUGGAGCGUACAGAAACGAAAAUGUAGGCAUAAGUAACGAUAAUGCGGGCGAGAAACCCGCACACCGAAAGACUAAGGUUUCCUCAGCGAUGCUAAUCAGCUGAGGGUUAGUCGGGACCUAACGCGAACCCGAAAGGGGUAGUGGAUGGACAACAGGUUAAUAUUCCUGUACCUGCUCACACUAAACGUGACGGAGGCGAAAAGUUAGUGCGCACAGACGGAAUUGUGCGUUAAAGAGAGUGGUAACACCUUGAUAGUACACUAAGACUACGGUCGCGGUGAUAAUCUAGCGAAUCGACUUCCAAGAAAAGCGAGUGAAGCAGCCCGUACCCUAAACCGACACAGGUAGUUGGGAUGAGAAUUCUAAGGUGCUCGAGAGAUUCAUGGCUAAGGAACUAGGCAAAAUAGACCUGUAACUUCGGGAGAAAGGUCGCCCCGCUUUACGGCGGGGCCGCAGUGAAAAGGUCCAGGCGACUGUUUAUCAAAAACACAGGGCUUUGCUAAAUUGAAAGAUGAUGUAUAAGGCCUGACACCUGCCCGG
rnacentral:rRNA from 1 species